CACACAUCGUUUACGGCAUGGACUACGAGGGUAUCUAAUCCUCUUCGCUACCCAUGCUUUCGUUCCUCAGUGUCAGUAAUGAUCCAGAAAGCUGCCUUCGCAAUUGGUAUUCUUUCUAAUAUCUACGAAUUUCACCUCUACACUAGAAAUUCUGCUUUCCUCUAUCAUACUCUAGCUGAAAAGUUUUGAUGGCAGUUCCAGAGUUAAGCUCUGGGAUUUCACCACCAACUUUUUCAACCACCUACGAACUCUUUAAGCCCAGUAAUUCCGAACUACGCUAGGUCCCUUCGUAUUACCGCGGCUGCUGGCACGAAGUUAGCCGGACCUUCUUAUUCGGGUACAGUCAUUUUCUUCCCCGACGAAAGAGCUUUACAACCCAAAGGCCUUCUUCACUCACGCGGCAUCGCUGCAUCAGAGUUUCCUCCAUUGUGCAAGAUUCCCCACUGCUGCCUCCCGUAGGAGUUUGGGCCGUGUCUCAGUCCCAAUGUGGCUGAUCAUCCUCUCAAAUCAGCUAUUGAUCAUAGUCUUGGUAGGCCAUUACCCUACCAACAAACUAAUCAAGUGCGGGCUCAUCCAAUGGUGCAUAAAGCUUUCUCCGUAAAGACUUAUCCGGUAUUAGCACAAGUUUCCUCGUGUUAUUCCAGGCCAAAGGGUAGAUACCCACAUGUUACUCACCCGUCUGCCACUAAGUAUUGCUACUUCGUUCGACUUGCAUGUGUUAGGCGUGCCGCCAGCGUACGUUCUGAGCCAGGAUCAAACUCU
rnacentral:rRNA from 1 species